rnacentral:rRNA from 1 species
AAUUUUGGACAAUGUGGGAAACCCUGAUCCAGCCAGCCCUGUUGAAUGAUGAAGGCCUUCGGGUUGUAAAGUACUUUUUGCAGAGAAGAAAGGGUAUCUCCGAAUACGAGCUACUGUUGACGGAAUCUGCAGAUUAAGCACUGGCUAACACGUUGCAAGCAGCCGCGGUAAUACGUAGGGUGCAAGCGUUAAUCGGAAUUACUGGGCGUAAAGCGUGUGUAGGCGGUUCGGAAAGAAAGAUGUGAAAUCCCAGGGCUCAACCUUGGAACUGCAUUUUUAACUGCCGAGCUAGAGUAUGUCAGAGGGGGGUAGAAUUCCACGUGUAGCAGUGAAAUGCGUAGAUAUGUGGAGGAAUACCGAUGGCGAAGGCAGCCCCCUGGGGUAAUACUGACGCUCAGACACGAAAGCGUGGGGAGCAAACAG